CCUACGGGAGGCAGCAGUAGGGAAUAUUGCUCAAUGGGGGAAACCCUGAAGCAGCAACGCCGCGUGGAGGAUGAAGGUUUUCGGAUUGUAAACUCCUUUUGUUAGAGAAGAUAAUGACGGUAUCUAACGAAUAAGCACCGGCUAAUUCCGUGCCAGCAGCCGCGGUAAUACGGCGGGUGCAAGCGUUACUCGGAAUCACUGGGCGUAAAGAGGGCGUAGGCGGGAUAGCAAGUCAGAUGUGAAAUCCUAUGGCUUAACCAUAGAAAUGCAUUUGAAACUGUUAUUCUAGAGUAUGGGAGAGGGAGGUGGAAUUCUUGGUGUAGGGGUAAAAUCCGUAGAGAUCAAGAGGAAUACUCAUUGCGAAGGCGACCUGCUAGAACAUAACUGACGCUGAUGCGCGAAAGCGUGGGGAGCAAACAGGAUUAGAUACCCUAGUAGUC
rnacentral:rRNA from 1 species